rnacentral:rRNA from 1 species
AGAGCGAACGCUGGCGGCAGGCCUAAAACAUGCAAGUCGAACGCCGUAGCAAUACGGAGUGGCAGACGGGUGAGUAACACGUGGGAACGUACCCUUUGGUUCGGAACAACACAGGGAAACUUGUGCUAAUACCGGAUAAGCCCUUACGGGGAAAGAUUUAUCGCCGAAGGAUCGGCCCGCGUCUGAUUAGCUAGUUGGUGAGGUAAAGGCUCACCAAGGCUACGAUCAGUAGCUGGUCUGAGAGGAUGACCAGCCACAUUGGGACUGAGACACGGCCCAAACUCCUACGGGAGGCAGCAGUGGGGAAUCUUGCGCAAUGGGCGAAAGCCUGACGCAGCCAUGCCGCGUGUAUGAUGAAGGUCUUAGGAUUGUAAAAUCUUUCACCGGUGAAGAUAAUGACUGUAGCCGGAGAAGAAGCCCGGCUAACUUCGUGCCAGCAGCCGC